ensembl:lncRNA LINC01435 long intergenic non-protein coding RNA 1435
GGGCUUAAGUCUUAUGCCCAUGUCUGGAACUGGAGUGGGAUCGGCCACAUUGAAAGAACACAGCCUGAGGGCAGGGAAGCUAUUGAGCCCCAGAGAGAAGUUAAAGUACUUUUCAUGAAAGGAUUGGUUACUUGCACUACAGCAAAUUUACAACCAGCAAAAUAGACUAGAAACAAGCUACUUGUUGAUGAAGAGUGACAACAUGAGAAGUGACAAAUGAAGCAAUUGAUUUCAGGAAAAAAAGAAGACACAUAGAUAGCAAAAAGGCAUAGAUCAAAUAGCAAAAAGGCACCGAGUAUUAAAAUGAAAUUAAUACUCACCAUUUUAAAUGAAGCGCCCACAUAAAUAAGGAUGAGUAGAGUUGAACUACAGGAUCUGGACCAAGAUAGGAUUAGUGAAUAUCUCAAGAACAAUCAAGAAUGUAAGAAAAUAUCAUUGUCUGUUAAGACCCCAUCGCAGAGAAGUUAAAGAGCUUCAAUCACCAUGCUUUCAGGGUCAAUUUGUCUCCGAAAAGGAACAGAUGGGGAAGAAUUAUUCCAUUCACAGUUGACUUGUCAGAAAUUCCAAGAUCUUGGACUGGCUGAAAGCAAUGAUGUUGCCAUUCAUCCUUUCACGUAUUCAUUAUGGUCUACAGCUGAGAAGGGCUAUUUGGGGUUUGCUUUGCCUGAUGGUAGCAGAAGAAAACCAAGAGGCCUCUCUACGAAAGCUUGCAGUAAGGAGAAAGUUCUGGAGACUGGGAAGAGCAACACAAAGAUAUUCAGUUGCUUGGUGAGAGCUGCUCUCUGCUUCCAAGGCGGCACCUUGUUGCUGCAUUCUCCAAUGGGAAGGAACGCUGGGUCCUCACAUGACAGAAGGUGGAAAGGCAGAGAUCUGGGAACCUGAUGUGGGAAGAAAUCUCAUCUGUGACCACGAUUUUGUCAGGAGUCACGGGAUUCUAUAGCUGCAGCAAACCUGGAGCAAACUGGUCCCCACCAAUCUGGGUGAGACAAACCAAUGAUGACUGAAAAUCACAAUAAAAUUGUAAUACUCGAGA